CAGCAGCCGCGGUAAUACGUAGGGUGCAAGCGUUAUCCGGAAUUAUUGGGCGUAAAGAGCUCGUAGGCGGUUUGUCGCGUCUGCUGUGAAAACUGGAGGCUCAACCUCCAGCCUGCAGUGGGUACGGGCAGACUAGAGUGCGGUAGGGGAGAUUGGAAUUCCUGGUGUAGCGGUGGAAUGCGCAGAUAUCAGGAGGAACACCGAUGGCGAAGGCAGAUCUCUGGGCCGUAACUGACGCUGAGGAGCGAAAGCGUGGGGAGCGAACAGGAUUAGAUACCCCCGUAGUCCCUGUCUCUUAUAA
rnacentral:rRNA from 1 species